rfam:Fungal sp. No.11243 DNA, scaffold: sccafold0011.
GGCACUUUGGCGGAGUGGCCUAACGCGCGGGCCUGCUAAGCCCGUCUCUUCGGAGGCGCAGGUUCGAAUCCUGCAGGUGUCG